rnacentral:rRNA from 1 species
UACGGGGGGGGCAAGCGUUGUUCGGAAUUACUGGGCGUAAAGGGCUCGUGGGCGGCCAACUAAGUCAGACGUGAAAUCCCUGGGCUCAACCCAGGAACUGCGUCCGAUACUGGUUGGCUUGAAUCCGGGAGAGGGAUGUGGAAUUCCAGGUGUAGCGGUGAAAUGCGUAGAUAUCUGGAGGAACACCGGUGGCGAAGGCGACAUCCUGGACCGGUAUUGACGCUGAGGCGCGAAAGCCAGGGGAGCAAACGGG